CCUACGGGAGGCAGCAGUGAGGAAUAUUGGUCAAUGGCCGAGAGGCUGAACCAGCCAAGUCGCGUGAGGGAAGACGGCCCUACGGGUUGUAAACCUCUUUUGUCGGGGAGCAAAGCGAACCACGUGUGGUUCAUUGAGAGUACCCGAAGAAAAAGCAUCGGCUAACUCCGUGCCAGCAGCCGCGGUAAUACGGAGGAUGCGAGCGUUAUCCGGAUUUAUUGGGUUUAAAGGGUGCGCAGGCGGGGGUGCAAGUCAGCGGUCAAAUUGCGGGGCUCAACCCCGUACUGCCGUUGAAACUGCAUCCCUUGAGUGCGCGAGAAGUAUGCGGAAUGCGUGGUGUAGCGGUGAAAUGCAUAGAUAUCACGCAGAACUCCGAUUGCGAAGGCAGCAUACCGGCGCGCAACUGACGCUCAAGCACGAAAGCGUGGGGAUCAAACAGGAUUAGAUACCCGAGUAGUC
rnacentral:rRNA from 1 species